UACGAAGGGGGCUAGCGUUGUUCGGAAUCACUGGGCGUAAAGCGCACGUAGGCGGAUCUUUAAGUCAGGGGUGAAAUCCCGAGGCUCAACCUCGGAACUGCCUUUGAUACUGAGGGUCUUGAGUUCGGGAGAGGUGAGUGGAACUGCGAGUGUAGAGGUGAAAUUCGUAGAUAUUCGCAAGAACACCAGUGGCGAAGGCGGCUCACUGGCCCGAUACUGACGCUGAUGCACGAAAGCGUGGGGAGCAAACAGG
rnacentral:rRNA from 1 species